rnacentral:rRNA from 1 species
ACGCGCGGAUCUUCCAGAGAUUAGAGUUUGAUCCUGGCUCAGGACGAACGCUGGCGGCGUGCUUAACACAUGCAAGUUGAACGGUCUGACAUGGAAGCUUGCUGAAGUGUCGGGUAGUAGCGGACGGGUGAGUAAUGCAUGAGAAGCUGCCAUUGGGAGGGGGACAACAGUUGGAAACGGCUGCUAAUACCCCAUAUGCCGAAAGGUGAAAGGGAGCGAUCCGCCCGAUGAGGUGCUCAUGUCCUAUCAGCUAGUUGGUGAGGUAACGGCUCACCAAGGCGACGACGGGUAGCCGGCCUGAGAGGGUGACCGGCCACACUGGAACUGAGAUACGGUCCAGACUCCUACGGGAGGCAGCAGUGGGGAAUAUUGGGCAAUGGGGGGAACCCUGACCCAGCGACGCCGCGUGAGGGAAGACGGCCUUCGGGUUGUAAACCUCUUUUGUACGGGAAGAAGGACGUGACGGUACCGUACGAAUAAGUCCCGGCUAACUACGUGCCAGCAGCCGCGGUAAUACGUAGGGGACGAGCGUUGUCCGGAAUUACUGGGCGUAAAGGGCGCGCAGGCGGUAUAUCAAGUCAGCUGUCAAAGACUGGGGC